rnacentral:miRNA from 1 species
AGAGCAGGUCAGGAAGUUCCACCCUGGUUGUUGAAAGGGUUAAGGAUGAAUGUGUGUGUGUGUGUGUGUGUGUGUUUGCACACACACACACACACACACACACGCGUGC